AGCCAUGUGGUGAGCACAAAGCGAACUAUUCUUUCGCCUUUUACUAAAGAAUACCGUGUGCUCUCCACGCUAAGUGGCAUACGCCUAUUUUUGGAGGGUUCUCGCUUCACCGCGAGC
rfam:Capsella rubella cultivar Monte Gargano unplaced genomic scaffold scaffold_5, whole genome shotgun sequence.